GCUGGGAGGGGCCCCACAUUCCUUCCUUUGACUCACAUCCUGUGUGACAGUUGGAAGCCUACUCUACAUAAGAGGUGUAGGCCCGAGAGCAUAGCGAGCAGAGCAUAGCGGACAGGGAUAGCAAACAGGACACAGGAGUUUUGCAGGAGUUUAGCGGGAAGUGUGUGGGGGAGCCUGGAACAAGCGCCCGCGAUCACAAGGAUCACAAGGAGCCUGGUGGAGAAGAGAACAAACGGAGGUCCCCAUUCCAGCCCGUGGACUGCAAGCUGGCCAUCCCUGAUGUAGAGCAAAAUAUCUGAGCUUCUGUUGAUUUCUGGUGACUUCAGUCAGGCUAAUCCUGGAGGACUGGCAACCCUAGCUACUCUUCUGGGGGAAAGGGGGUUCAACAGUGAAUACUGAUUCAAAGAACACAUCAGCUUCUCUAGAAUCUCCUUCUUCAGUAAUGCUUUUCACACCCAUCUAACUCUCCUACAUCUUUUGGGACUGCUAUCCUGCUUCUGGUGUGUUUUCUGUCUUUUGUAUCCCACCUUUCUGUCCUAUCAAAGGCAGCCAACAGAGUAAAACAAUUCAUAAGUAAAACCAUCAUUUCUAGAAAAAUAAAAAUAUAAUACAUGACCAA